GGGUUGUGAGGUUAAGCGACUAAGCGUACACGGUGGAUGCCCUGGCAGUCAGAGGCGAUGAAGGGCGUGCUAAUCUGCGAUAAGCGCCGGUAAGGUGAUAUGAACCGUUAUAACCGGCGAUACCCGAAUGGGGAAACCCAGUGUGACUCGUCACACUAUCAUUAACUGAAUCCAUAGGUUAAUGAGGCGAACCGGGGGAACUGAAACAUCUAAGUACCCCGAGGAAAAGAAAUCAACCGAGAUUCCCCCAGUAGCGGCGAGCGAACGGGGAGGAGCCCAGAGCCUGAAUCAGCAUGUGUGUUAGUGGAAGCGUCUGGAAAGGCGCGCGAUACAGGGUGACAGCCCCGUACACAAAAGCGCAUGUGCUGUGAGCUCGAUGAGUAGGGCGGGACACGUGGUAUCCUGUCUGAAUAUGGGGGGACCAUCCUCCAAGGCUAAAUACUCCUGACUGACCGAUAGUGAACCAGUACCGUGAGGGAAAGGCGAAAAGAACCCCGGCGAGGGGAGUGAAAAAGAACCUGAAACCGUGUACGUACAAGCAGUGGGAGCACAGGUUUACCUGUGUGACUGCGUACCUUUUGUAUAAUGGGUCAGCGACUUAUAUUCUGUAGCAAGGUUAACCGUAUAGGGGAGCCGUAGGGAAACCGAGUCUUAACCGGGCGUUAAGUUGCAGGGUAUAGACCCGAAACCCGGUGAUCUAGCCAUGGGCAGGUUGAAGGUUGGGUAACACUAACUGGAGGACCGAACCGACUAAUGUUGAAAAAUUAGCGGAUGACCUGUGGCUGGGGGUGAAAGGCCAAUCAAACCGGGAGAUAGCUGGUUCUCCCCGAAAGCUAUUUAGGUAGCGCCUCGUGAAUUCAUCUCCGGGGGUAGAGCACUGUUUCGGCUAGGGGGCCAUCCCGGCUUACCAACCCGAUGCAAACUGCGAAUACCGGAGAAUGUUAUCACGGGAGACACACGGCGGGUGCUAACGUCCGUCGUGAAGAGGGAAACAACCCAGACCGCCAGCUAAGGUCCCAAAGUCAUGGUUAAGUGGGAAACGAUGUGGGAAGGCCCAGACAGCCAGGAUGUUGGCUUAGAAGCAGCCAUCAUUUAAAGAAAGCGUAAUAGCUCACUGGUCGAGUCGGCCUGCGCGGAAGAUGUAACGGGGCUAAACCAUGCACCGAAGCUGCGGCAGCGACACUGUGUGUUGUUGGGUAGGGGAGCGUUCUGUAAGCCUGUGAAGGUGGCCUGUGAGGGUUGCUGGAGGUAUCAGAAGUGCGAAUGCUGACAUAAGUAACGAUAAAGCGGGUGAAAAGCCCGCUCGCCGGAAGACCAAGGGUUCCUGUCCAACGUUAAUCGGGGCAGGGUGAGUCGACCCCUAAGGCGAGGCCGAAAGGCGUAGUCGAUGGGAAACGGGUUAAUAUUCCCGUACUUGGUGUUACUGCGAAGGGGGGACGGAGAAGGCUAUGUUGGCCGGGCGACGGUUGUCCCGGUUUAAGCGUGUAGGUGUGUGUUCCAGGUAAAUCCGGUUCACUUUAACACUGAGGCGUGACGACGAGGCACUACGGUGCUGAAGCAACAAAUGCCCUGCUUCCAGGAAAAGCCUCUAAGCAUCAGGUAACAUCAAAUC
rnacentral:rRNA from 1 species